GGGAAUCUGCCCUUUGGUUCGGAAUAACAGUUGGAAACGACUGCUAAUACCGGAUGAUGACGAAAGUCCAAAGAUUUAUCGCCAGAGGAUGAGCCCGCGUAGGAUUAGCUAGUUGGUGUGGUAAAGGCGCACCAAGGCGACGAUCCUUAGCUGGUCUGAGAGGAUGAUCAGCCACACUGGGACUGAGACACGGCCCAGACUCCUACGGGAGGCAGCAGUGGGGAAUACUGGACAAUGGGCGAAAGCCUGAUCCAGCAAUGCCGCGUGAGUGAUGAAGGCCUUAGGGUUGUAAAGCUCUUUUACCCGGGAUGAUAAUGACAGUACCGGGAGAAUAAGCUCCGGCUAACUCCGUGCCAGCAGCCGCGGUAAUACGGAGGGAGCUAGCGUUGUUCGGAAUUACUGGGCGUAAAGCGCACGUAGGCGGCUUUGUAAGUUAGAGGUGAAAGCCUGGAGCUCAACUCCAGAACUGCCUUUAAGACUGCAUCGCUUGAAUCCAGGAGAGGUGAGUGGAAUUCCGAGU
rnacentral:rRNA from 1 species